AGAAGAUAGUACCAAUCUGUCUCGUUCGGCAAAAGGCUACAAUCAUAAGUUUGCUGGUAUUGCUAGUUUCUUGAAUCCAAUCAUCCAUUUUACCUAUCAAGGUGUGAUUUCUUUAACUAGCUUAGGGAGGUGACAGUGGAAGUGGGAAUGGAAGUUUGUGACGUAGUUGAACUGAUCGGUAUGGCAAGCCUGAUGGUGGGUUUGACUCUAACUUGAUUUCAGAAUGAUUAGUGAUUUCACUUUUAAUGGUGAUCACCUUCUAAUAGGAAUCAUAGUUUUACCGAUAACACAAUCUAUAUUCCCCUUAUUUUACAGGUGAAAAGGCGGUGAUGUGAUUAACAUCGUAUUCUAUGUAUCUGCUAUUGCUGUAUUUUAGGUCAUGGAACAAUUAAUUCAUUCAUUAUAGAUGAUAUCCUUGUGGCUAAUUUGCAGAAUGGACGAUGGGGUGGGCAUGGUACUUCAAAGAAUAAGAUCGGCAGCCGUGGAGAAGACAAGGUUAUAAUA